rnacentral:lncRNA from 1 species
AUGUACAUCCAAAUGAAGAAAAGUUUUUGUCUAAUAAUUUAUCUCAUUUUGUACCUUCAAAAUCAAUUGAAGCACAAACAACAUCAUCUUAUAGCAACUAACAAACGAAUUUUGAUUAUUUCUCAUCCAACUUCUACUGAUUGAUACUCUUGACACAGAACUAUUUCGUCGUGAUCAUGGAUUGAGGGACUCUAUAUUAACACCAAUGUUGGUCUUAGUUGAAUUUUGGAGAUGACCAAUGGGGACAAUUUUGGACAAUCUUUUUUGAUUUAUGAUGUUAAUGCAGAAAUAUGAUACUACUGAAAGAAACUAAACCGUUGUAGUGUUUUAGUCCCAAGAUAUUUUCCAUUUUCAAAGUCUGCUAUUAAAGUAUUCAACAACGUUUCUUCCGGCCACCUAUUAUUAGUGACCUUUUCUCCAUCGGUUUAGCUACAAGAAAUAGCCUAAAAUUCGGAAAGCAUCAUUUACAUCGUCUGUGAAGUGGGCUGCACAGUGCAGUUUUUCUUGUCGAUGUGUGCAAUUCUUAUGAAUAAACAGAAAAUUCUGCCUUUUCUGCCCAUCUACCCAUGGACUUGUCAGGUCUCUAUCUUAACACUGAGAAUUUAAGUAGCAAGAGGCUGUCAGAACUCUUACCGUGAGAUGUCAGCACAGAUCAACAACACAAACAUCGGAGGAAGCACACGAGAAGAGCACUCCAACAGUUUAUCCUCCACCAAACCCACCACAGGACUUGGCAGAAGGAAGAGAGAGAGAGAG